rnacentral:miRNA from 1 species
GAGGGAAAGCAGGCCAACGUCCAGGAUCUCCCCAGCCUUGGCGUUCAGGUGCUGAGAAGAUCCUCAAGGUUGGCCUGCUUUCCCCUC